UUAUACCAAGAAAAACAACAUGUUAAUACUAUUUUAUUUCAUAAUUUUACCACCGUAUAUAUACCAAUUUUGCACUAAAAUACUAUCAAGAAAAACAAGAAGUUUAUACCAUUCUAUAUCAUAUAUAUUUUUUUAUCAUUAUAUUAUUCUAAAAGUAAAAAAAAACGUAAUUGAAGAGAAAGAAAAAUAAAAUUAGAAGUGUAAUUGUAUUAAGUAAGAAAGAGG
rnacentral:lncRNA from 1 species